GCCGCCGGCGGCUCGGCGCGGCUUCACCCCCUCCCAUGGCGGCUACCAGAGGAGUAUUGCUAAGGAGAUGCCCUUGUGGUCAAGUGGUCAACGCCGAUGAUGCAAGCCAAUCACUGGGUUGGAAAGUGCGAAGGGAUGCGUCGAUCCAGUGUGUCCUGCAACAGAUGGCCCCUCUGCCUCUCCCGACAAGAAUUUGUCUAUCAGCAUCAACUGUGGAGAGUGUGGGGACAGGAACAACUUGUACCCAGGCUGGAAGUCUGCCCUCUGAGUUUCAGAAUGGAAUGAGACAUGGCACAGGCAGUGCAGUGCAAUGCGAGUGGCUGUUUCAGUGCCAUCGCUGCCAGUUCUCGACUUCUAAGCUUCAUAGGUUGACAUAUCAUCUGCUAUCACACAGCGCAGAAAAACCUUUCCGCUGUGAAGUCUGUUCGAAGGCAUUCAAGAGCUUGGACUCCUACAAAGCGCACAUGUGCGAACACACGGGAGAAGUUCCAGAUUAGUGCCAACUUUGCCCAUAUACGACUUCCUCCAACAAGCGCCUAUGGGAUCACAAGAGAGCUCACUUGAACACCACGUCUUUCGCCUGUAACAUGUGUACAUACACAACUAAGCGAAGGGCAAAUCUCUACAUGCACAAGCUCAACCACACAAGUGAUAAGCCAUUCAAGUGCAAAGUCUGCUCUUUUGCUUACAAUGAAAAGUGGUAUUUAAAAAUUCACAUGCUGUAAAACUUGAAAUCAUGGCAUUGAUUGUGAGCAUUAAUGGAAGUGGCAUUCGUCAUUCUGCACCUUGAAAGAUGAGCAGAUGCCAUAGGUGCAAUUUGAAUGAAAGAGGAUUGGCGUUCUUGAUGCAUGUUAUUGUACAUCUGAAUCUCUGCAUUUGUUGUAGCCAUUGUGCAUCCCUAAUGACAUGAAUGUUUCAGACUCUGGCACUAUAACAGAACAUUUAAUCAUCAAGACAGUCGUCAGCAUCACGCAUUUGAACAUUCAUUUCCCAAAAGAUUGUGAACUUAGUUGAACCCGAGUGUGUUCUUCAGUUGCACAAAUGAUGUUGCACUUGUCCAAAUAAUUCCCAUUCCUGUAAAUCUUGCCAACGUGUGUUCAUCAAGAUGCAACACUGGCAGUUACGCCGAUAUCCCCCACAUCUGACCAGCUGUAGUUAUGGAAAAACAACCAGCCAAAGCAUUCUAGUAUGUCCAUAUUGCCACACCCGUUUCUUAUUUUCACUUUUGUUUCAUUUGGUUUUCACCCACAAAGCCUGGGUCGGCAAUGCUCAGUGCAAACUGCGCCUCUUUGUUCGAGAAGGUUCGCGAUCGUUGUAGAUCAUGCUGUUAAAAUUGGCCGCAAGACACAAACACUUGAGAUUGUUCCAGAGCUAGCACAAUGACCUAUGAUAAGGCUGGAAUAUUUGACGGCACAUGUAUAAAUGCAGACGCGCUUCACUGCUUAUCAGUUGAUCAACGGCUGACGCUUUGUUUACCCGUUAUCAGUGCCAGUGUGUAUCACUGUGCUCUGACUUUCCAUUGACCGGCCACAAGUUCAGCCAAAUAAACAGUUUCAUUUUCCAA
rnacentral:lncRNA from 1 species